GCUGUCAUGUCAUUAGAAAAUGGUACUUUCUGUGGGUCUCUCCUCGUGCACCUGCCAGAGGAGCACACAGCCCUGAACCAUUGCCUGACCUCGUCGUAGGUGGGCUGUGAGCACUGAAGGGGCCUGUGCAGUG
ensembl:snoRNA